rnacentral:rRNA from 1 species
UACGGAGGGAGCUAGCGUUGUUCGGAAUUACUGGGCGUAAAGCGCGCGUAGGCGGCUUUGUAAGUUAGAGGUGAAAGCCCGGGGCUCAACCCCGGAAUUGCCUUUAAGACUGCAUCGCUUGAAUCCGGGAGAGGUGAGUGGAAUUCCGAGUGUAGAGGUGAAAUUCGUAGAUAUUCGGAAGAACACCAGUGGCGAAGGCGGCUCACUGGCCCGUUACUGACGCUGAGGCACGAAAGCGUGGGGAUCAAACAGG